rnacentral:rRNA from 1 species
GAUUAAGUUAUUAAGGGCGCACGGUGGAUGCCUUGGCACUAGAAGCCGAUGAAGGACGUUACUAACGACGAUAUGCUUUGGGGAGCUGUAAGUAAGCUUUGAUCCAGAGAUUUCCGAAUGGGGAAACCCAGCAUGAGUUAUGUCAUGUUAUCGAUAUGUGAAUACAUAGCAUAUCAGAAGGCACACCCGGAGAACUGAAACAUCUUAGUACCCGGAGGAAGAGAAAGAAAAUUCGAUUCCCUUAGUAGCGGCGAGCGAAACGGGAAGAGCCCAAACCAACAAGCUUGCUUGUUGGGGUUGUAGGACACUCUAUACGGAGUUACAAAGGACGACAUUAGACGAAUCAUCUGGAAAGAUGAAUCAAAGAAGGUAAUAAUCCUGUAGUCGAAAAUGUUGUCUCUCUUGAGUGGAUCCUGAGUACGACGGAGCACGUGAAAUUCCGUCGGAAUCUGGGAGGACCAUCUCCUAAGGCUAAAUACUCUCUAGUGACCGAUAGUGAACCAGUACCGUGAGGGAAAGGUGAAAAGCACCCCGGAAGGGGAGUGAAAUAGAACCUGAAACCGUGUGCUUACAAGUAGUCAGAGCCCGUUAAUGGGUGAUGGCGUGCCUUUUGUAGAAUGAACCGGCGAGUUACGAUUUGAUGCAAGGUUAAGCAGUAAAUGUGGAGCCGUAGCGAAAGCGAGUCUGAAUAGGGCGUUUAGUAUUUGGUCGUAGACCCGAAACCAGGUGAUCUACCCUUGGUCAGGUUGAAGUUCAGGUAACACUGAAUGGAGGACCGAACCGACUUACGUUGAAAAGUGAGCGGAUGAACUGAGGGUAGCGGAGAAAUUCCAAUCGAACCUGGAGAUAGCUGGUUCUCUCCGAAAUAGCUUUAGGGCUAGCCUCAAGUGAUGAUUAUUGGAGGUAGAGCACUGUUUGGACGAGGGGCCCCUCUCGGGUUACCGAAUUCAGACAAACUCCGAAUGCCAAUUAAUUUAACUUGGGAGUCAGAACAUGGGUGAUAAGGUCCGUGUUCGAAAGGGAAACAGCCCAGACCACCAGCUAAGGUCCCAAAAUAUAUGUUAAGUGGAAAAGGAUGUGGCGUUGCCCAGACAACUAGGAUGUUGGCUUAGAAGCAGCCAUCAUUUAAAGAGUGCGUAAUAGCUCACUAGUCGAGUGACACUGCGCCGAAAAUGUACCGGGGCUAAACAUAUUACCGAAGCUGUGGAUUGUCCUUUGGACAAUGGUAGGAGAGCGUUCUAAGGGCGUUGAAGCAUGAUCGUAAGGACAUGUGGAGCGCUUAGAAGUGAGAAUGCCGGUGUGAGUAGCGAAAGACGGGUGAGAAUCCCGUCCACCGAUUGACUAAGGUUUCCAGAGGAAGGCUCGUCCGCUCUGGGUUAGUCGGGUCCUAAGCUGAGGCCGACAGGCGUAGGCGAUGGAUAACAGGUUGAUAUUCCUGUACCACCUAUAAUCGUUUUAAUCGAUGGGGGGACGCAGUAGGAUAGGCGAAGCGUGCGAUUGGAUUGCACGUCUAAGCAGUAAGGCUGAGUAUUAGGCAAAUCCGGUACUCGUUAAGGCUGAGCUGUGAUGGGGAGAAGACAUUGUGUCUUCGAGUCGUUGAUUUCACACUGCCGAGAAAAGCCUCUAGAUAGAAAAUAGGUGCCCGUACCGCAAACCGACACAGGUAGUCAAGAUGAGAAUUCUAAGGUGAGCGAGCGAACUCUCGUUAAGGAACUCGGCAAAAUGACCCCGUAACUUCGGGAGAAGGGGUGCUCUUUAGGGUUAACGCCCAGAAGAGCCGCAGUGAAUAGGCCCAAGCGACUGUUUAUCAAAAACACAGGUCUCUGCUAAACCGUAAGGUGAUGUAUAGGGGCUGACGCCUGCCCGGUGCUGGAAGGUUAAGAGGAGUGGUUAGCUUCUGCGAAGCUACGAAUCGAAGCCCCAGUAAACGGCGGCCGUAACUAUAACGGUCCUAAGGUAGCGAAAUUCCUUGUCGGGUAAGUUCCGACCCGCACGAAAGGCGUAACGAUUUGGGCACUGUCUCAACGAGAGACUCGGUGAAAUCAUAGUACCUGUGAAGAUGCAGGUUACCCGCGACAGGACGGAAAGACCCCGUGGAGCUUUACUGUAGCCUGAUAUUGAAAUUCGGCACAGCUUGUACAGGAUAGGUAGGAGCCUUUGAAACGUGAGCGCUAGCUUACGUGGAGGCGCUGGUGGGAUACUACCCUAGCUGUGUUGGCUUUCUAACCCGCACCACUUAUCGUGGUGGGAGACAGUGUCAGGCGGGCAGUUUGACUGGGGCGGUCGCCUCCUAAAAGGUAACGGAGGCGCUCAAAGGUUCCCUCAGAAUGGUUGGAAAUCAUUCAUAGAGUGUAAAGGCAUAAGGGAGCUUGACUGCGAGACCUACAAGUCGAGCAGGGUCGAAAGACGGACUUAGUGAUCCGGUGGUUCCGCAUGGAAGGGCCAUCGCUCAACGGAUAAAAGCUACCCCGGGGAUAACAGGCUUAUCUCCCCCAAGAGUUCACAUCGACGGGGAGGUUUGGCACCUCGAUGUCGGCUCAUCGCAUCCUGGGGCUGUAGUCGGUCCCAAGGGUUGGGCUGUUCGCCCAUUAAAGCGGUACGCGAGCUGGGUUCAGAACGUCGUGAGACAGUUCGGUCCCUAUCCGUCGUGGGCGUAGGAAAUUUGAGAGGAGCUGUCCUUAGUACGAGAGGACCGGGAUGGACAUACCUCUGGUGUACCAGUUGUCGUGCCAACGGCAUAGCUGGGUAGCUAUGUGUGGACGGGAUAAGUGCUGAAAGCAUCUAAGCAUGAAGCCCC